GGAGAGUGCUGUUCCAGGAUGUGAAGGAUUUCCCUGGGAACCCCCAAGGGAAGGCACAAAGCACCCUGUUCCCAGGCAGGAAGAAGGGGAGCUCCUAGCAUCACAGGUCUGUACUCCACCCUGACAGGAGCUCCUGGUUUUGGAGGCACGAACAUCCUUACCGAGCUGUGUCCAGGCUGUGAUGCUAACAUUAGACAACAGAGAGGUGACUCAGCCCUUUCAGUACAUGUUUCCGUGUUCCCAGCUGCUGUAGGAAAUAAACAGCACUGUUCACAAGACCUUUGUAUGUUAACAAAGGGGCCACGACACAGCGGGAACAACGUGUUUCUUGUGUAAGUAAACGCUGUUUUUUGGUACAAGGUGGAUUUGGGAAAAAAGCUGGAACUUGUGGGAAGGAGUAGGGCAGUCUGGAGGAUGUGCCAUGGAAAACAGCUUUGCAUUGAGAGGCUUUUUUUUUUUUUAUACGUCCCAGCAAGGAUAUGAAAAAAAGUACAAGUGGUUCUGUUGGAAGGCUUAUAACAUUGAAGAGAAAACCUCAUGUCUUGCAGAUGGAGAGAGGAUAAUAAACUCUCUGUGUGCACGCAGUGAACAGGAGUGAGGUGAAACUGCCUUGUAUAAGAGCAAGAGCUGCUUACAGGUGAUAUUUCACUGCACUAUUGUGCAUUGCUCAUGUGGCACAGGCCAACUCUGCACAGGGCUGUGAUGGUGUGAGCACUUGCUAGCAAAGAGCAGCUGCUGAGCUUUCUCCCAGGGCUUGGUUUGUG